GGGAUAACUACUGGAAACGGUAGCUAAUACCGCAUAACGUCGCAAGACCAAAGAGGGGGACCUUCGGGCCUCUUGCCAUCAGAUGUGCCCAGAUGGGAUUAGCUAGUAGGUGGGGUAACGGCUCACCUAGGCGACGAUCCCUAGCUGGUCUGAGAGGAUGACCAGCCACACUGGAACUGAGACACGGUCCAG
rnacentral:rRNA from 1 species